rnacentral:rRNA from 1 species
UACAGAGGUCUCAAGCGUUGUUCGGAUUCAUUGGGCGUAAAGGGUGCGUAGGCGGCGCGGCAAGUCGGGUGUGAAAUCUCGGAGCUCAACUCCGAAACUGCAUUCGAUACUGCCGUGCUUGAGUACUGGAGAGGAGACUGGAAUUUACGGUGUAGCGGUGAAAUGCGUAGAUAUCGUAAGGAAGACCAGUGGCGAAGGCGGGUCUCUGGACAGUUCCUGACGCUGAGGCACGAAGGUCAGGGGAGCAAACGGG